UACGUAGGGGGCGAGCGUUGUCCGGAGUACUGGGCGUAAAGCGCACGCAGGCGGUCUGUUAAGUGAGAGGUGAAAUCCCAGAGCUCAACUCUGGAACUGCCUUUCAUACUGGCAAGCUAGAGUCCGGAAGAGGUAAGUGGAACUCCCAGUGUAGAGGUGGAAUUCGUAGAUAUUAGGAAGAACACCAGUGGCGAAGGCGGCUUACUGGUCCGGAACUGACGCUGAGGUGCGAAAGCGUGGGGAGCAAACAGG
rnacentral:rRNA from 1 species